GCUACCUUAGCUCAAUUGGCAGAGCAAUUCAUUCGUAAUGAAUAGGUUGUCGGUUCGAUUCCGAUAGGUAGCU
rfam:Geminocystis sp. NIES-3708 DNA, complete genome.